rnacentral:lncRNA from 1 species
UUUCUUCACAAUUUCUUGUGAAUCUGUAAUUAUUACAAAAGUAAAAGUUAUGGCCAAGUGUGGUGGCUCACACCCAUAAUCCCAGCACUUUGGGAAGCUGAGGUGAGCGAUCACUUGCGGCCAGGAGUUUGAGACCUGCCUGGACACCAUAGUGAGACCCCAUCUCUAAAAACAAAAAGCAAAAGUUAAUUAAGAAAUAGGCUUGGCUUAUGGACAAUGAUAAAUAAAUAGUAACUUUAAAGAAACAUGUGGACAAACUUCCCUGUACAAUCAAAAUCUCUUCUGUCAACCUUUAUGCUCCUCACCGUAUACUCUUCAGUUUCCUGGGAAGAGCAAUGCCUUGUCCCUCUGAGUCAGUGA